GGUGAAAAGCACCCCGGAAGGGGAGUGAAAUAGAACCUGAAACCGUGUGCUUACAAGUAGUCAGAGCCCGUUAAUGGGUGAUGGCGUGCCUUUUGUAGAAUGAACCGGCGAGUUACGAUUUGAUGCAAGGUUAAGCAGUAAAUGUGGAGCCGUAGCGAAAGCGAGUCUGAAUAGGGCGUUUAGUAUUUGGUCGUAGACCCGAAACCAGGUGAUCUACCCUUGGUCAGGUUGAAGUUCAGGUAACACUGAAUGGAGGACCGAACCGACUUACGUUGAAAAGUGAGCGGAUGAACUGAGGGUAGCGGAGAAAUUCCAAUCGAACCUGGAGAUAGCUGGUUCUCUCCGAAAUAGCUUUAGGGCUAGCCUCAAGUGAUGAUUAUUGGAGGUAGAGCACUGUUUGGACGAGGGGCCCCUCUCGGGUUACCGAAUUCAGACAAACUCCGAAUGCCAAUUAAUUUAACUUGGGAGUCAGAACAUGGGUGAUAAGGUCCGUGUUCGAAAGGGAAACAGCCCAGACCACCAGCUAAGGUCCCAAAAUAUAUGUUAAGUGGAAAAGGAUGUGGCGUUGCCCAGACAACUAGGAUGUUGGCUUAGAAGCAGCCAUCAUUUAAAGAGUGCGUAAUAGCUCACUAGUCGAGUGACACUGCGCCGAAAAUGUACCGGGGCUAAACAUAUUACCGAAGCUGUGGAUUGUCCUUUGGACAAUGGUAGGAGAGCGUUCUAAGGGCGUUGAAGCAUGAUCGUAAGGACAUGUGGAGCGCUUAGAAGUGAGAAUGCCGGUGUGAGUAGCGAAAGACGGGUGAGAAUCCCGUCCACCGAUUGACUAAGGUUUCCAGAGGAAGGCUCGUCCGCUCUGGGUUAGUCGGGUCCUAAGCUGAGGCCGACAGGCGUAGGCGAUGGAUAACAGGUUGAUAUUCCUGUACCACCUAUAAUCGUUUUAAUCGAUGGGGGGACGCAGUAGGAUAGGCGAAGCGUGCGAUUGGAUUGCACGUCUAAGCAGUAAGGCUGAGUAUUAGGCAAAUCCGGUACUCAUUAAGGCUGAGCUGUGAUGGGGAGAAGACAUUGUGUCUUCGAGUCGUUGAUUUCACACUGCCGAGAAAAGCCUCUAGAUAGAAAAUAGGUGCCCGUACCGCAAACCGACACAGGUAGUCAAGAUGAGAAUUCUAAGGUGAGCGAGCGAACUCUCGUUAAGGAACUCGGCAAAAUGACCCCGUAACUUCGGGAGAAGGGGUGCUCUUUAGGGUUAACGCCCAGAAGAGCCGCAGUGAAUAGGCCCAAGCGACUGUUUAUCAAAAACACAGGUCUCUGCUAAACCGUAAGGUGAUGUAUAGGGGCUGACGCCUGCCCGGUGCUGGAAGGUUAAGAGGAGUGGUUAGCUUCUGCGAAGCUACGAAUCGAAGCCCCAGUAAACGGCGGCCGUAACUAUAACGGUCCUAAGGUAGCGAAAUUCCUUGUCGGGUAAGUUCCGACCCGCACGAAAGGCGUAACGAUUUGGGCACUGUCUCAACGAGAGACUCGGUGAAAUCAUAGUACCUGUGAAGAUGCAGGUUACCCGCGACAGGACGGAAAGACCCCGUGGAGCUUUACUGUAGCCUGAUAUUGAAAUUCGGCACAGCUUGUACAGGAUAGGUAGGAGCCUUUGAAACGUGAGCGCUAGCUUACGUGGAGGCGCUGGUGGGAUACUACCCUAGCUGUGUUGGCUUUCUAACCCGCACCACUUAUCGUGGUGGGAGACAGUGUCAGGCGGGCAGUUUGACUGGGGCGGUCGCCUCCUAAAAGGUAACGGAGGCGCUCAAAGGUUCCCUCAGAAUGGUUGGAAAUCAUUCAUAGAGUGUAAAGGCAUAAGGGAGCUUGACUGCGAGACCUACAAGUCGAGCAGGGUCGAAAGACGGACUUAGUGAUCCGGUGGUUCCGCAUGGAAGGGCCAUCGCUCAACGGAUAAAAGCUACCCCGGGGAUAACAGGCUUAUCUCCCCCAAGAGUUCACAUCGACGGGGAGGUUUGGCACCUCGAUGUCGGCUCAUCGCAUCCUGGGGCUGUAGUCGGUCCCAAGGGUUGGGCUGUUCGCCCAUUAAAGCGGUACGCGAGCUGGGUUCAGAACGUCGUGAGACAGUUCGGUCCCUAUCCGUCGUGGGCGUAGGAAAUUUGAGAGGAGCUGUCCUUAGUACGAGAGGACCGGGAUGGACAUACCUCUGGUGUACCAGUUGUCGUGCCAACGGCAUAGCUGGGUAGCUAUGUGUGGACGGGAUA
rnacentral:rRNA from 1 species